CCUACGGGAGGCAGCAGUGGGGAAUAUUGCACAAUGGGCGCAAGCYUGAUGCAGCCAUGCCGCGUGUGUGAAGAAGGCCUUCGGGUUGUAAAGCACUUUCAGUCAGGAGGAAAGCGUGGUGGUUAAUACCCAUCAUGUGUGACGUUACUGACAGAAGAAGCACCGGCUAACUCCGUGCCAGCAGCCGCGGUAAUACGGAGGGUGCGAGCGUUAAUCGGAAUUACUGGGCGUAAAGCGUACGCAGGCGGUUUGUUAAGCGAGAUGUGAAAGCCACGGGCUCAACCUGGGAACUGCAUUUCGAACUGGCAAACUAGAGUGUGAUAGAGGGUGGUAGAAUUUCAGGUGUAGCGGUGAAAUGCGUASAGAUCUGAAGGAAUACCGAUGGCGAAGGCAGCCACCUGGGUCAACACUGACGCUCAUGUACGAAAGCGUGGGGAGCAAACGGGAUUAGAUACCCCGGUAGUCCACGCCGUAAACGAUGUCUACUAGAAGCCCGGAGCCUCGGUUCUGUUUUUCAAAGCUAACGCAUUAAGUAGACCGCCUGGGGAGUACGGCCGCAAGGUUAAAACUCAAAGGAAUUGACGGGG
rnacentral:rRNA from 1 species